AACAGAACGAACGAAGUAACGUAGUCGAGGUCGAACUCUCGAGAAGACAUCUCUGUGAUAGAAUCAGUGCGUAGUUUACAUUUGUUUUUAUAGAAGACAUAAACCCUUUAAUUCCGAGGAAACAGCAAAGAUGUCGAAGUUCAUCCUCUUGGUUUUUGUAACUCUUCUUGCCAGCACACUUAUCGUAGCUGCUCCCGAUAAAUCAGUCUGCGGUCGACACGGUGACCCCUGCGUAGUUGAUCGUGAGUGUUGCCAAAACAUGAGGUGCCAUGGAUAUGCGCAUAGAUGUCAAGUUAUUAUCACCUCCGAAGAACUAAUGGCGCAAAGAGAAAAGAUUUUAGGCAAAAAAGGAAAAUCUUAUUGAUCAACUUUUUAUCUUCUUCUGAUCGCUCACUGAUGAUGACGGUCGAAAAGAAAAAUAACUUUUUUUUUUUUUUAAUAUAUAUUUACAUAGAUAAA
rnacentral:misc_RNA from 1 species